UUACGGUCAAAUCACGCUGAAAACACCGGUUCUCGUUCGAUCACCGAAGUUAAGCAUCGUAGAGCCAGGUCAGUAUUAGAUGGGGACCGCUUGGGAACACCUGGUACUGUAAG